rfam:Triticum urartu cultivar G1812 contig55748, whole genome shotgun sequence.
UAAAUACUCCCUCCGUUCGGAAUUACUUGUCGUAGAAAUUGAUGUAUCUAGACAUUUUUUAGUUCUAGAUACAUUCAUUUCUGCGACAAGUAAUUCGGAACGGAGAGAGUAUAUG